CAGUGUGUGUGUGUCUGUCAGUGAGUGUGUGUGUCUGGUUGUCAGUGAGUGUGUGUCUGUCUGUGUGUGUCAGUGAGUGUCUGUCAGUGUGUGUCUGUGUGUCUGUCAGUGAGUGUGUCUGUGUGUUUCUGUCAGUGAGUGUGAGCGAUGGCUGCGGCUGGACAGAGGAGGACCUGGAAGUGCAUGGAGGCACGCAAUGCCACGUCACAUUCCAACGUGACGUCGACGUGCUCCACCUUCACAGGGUUUCAAAA